UACGUAGGGGGCAAGCGUUGUCCGGAAUCAUUGGGCGUAAAGCGCGUGUAGGCGGCUCGAUAAGUCUGCUGUGAAAGUUCAGGGCUUAACCCUGAAAUGCCGGUGGAAACUGUCGGGCUAGAGUCCGGAAGAGGCGAGUGGAAUUCCUGGUGUAGCGGUGAAAUGCGCAGAUAUCAGGAGGAACACCAAUGGCGAAGGCAGCUCGCUGGGACGGUACUGACGCUGAGACGCGAAAGCGUGGGGAGCAAACAGG
rnacentral:rRNA from 1 species